UAAAGACAAUAGAUGCUGCAAUACCAGGGGAUUCGAGAGUGAAAUGUAAGGAAACAGAAAAGAUUGAGAAAUACCAGCCACUUGUGGGAUGUACUAUGUAG